GUGGCGGUGGGGAGGCUUCGGAAGGAACUUUCGCACUAGGGAGCCAAAGCAACUGCUGUACCCCGUGGGAUGCUUCCGUUCCUCAGCAUUGUUGCUUUUCUGCUCUGCAUAAAUGGAAGCCUCCCUGCUGGGCUGUCAGCAAGUGGAACUGACCAGGGACACCGUCAAUGUGAGAGGCUGGAAUGCCGAGAGGCUGACAGACGAGUUUGAUGACUUGAUUGCUGUCGAUGGCAGCUUAACGAGGGUGAAAUAGGUGGUCUGCAACUUGUUUGUGAGGAUUAUUAAUAACAUCGUGUCAUGUAUUAAUAACAUCAUGUCAGAUAGAACAAAGCUGUCCUCAAGGGUCUGUCUGGAGAGUCCUAUUUGAAGCCAUGCUGUUUGGGAGCUGGAUGGCAGGGGUGCUGAAGAGGGGAUGGGACAAAAAGCUCUUGAGCAUCUGGCUACAAGUUCAGCAUCAGCUGCAAUCGGGAAGACCAAAUACUGCAGUCAGAAACAACAUUGAUGGCUAAUAGAAAAUAGGGACUUGUCUCUGUCUCAGGGAAUCUGGUCUAGCCAGCUUGAGGAAACCAUCCUGAUCCUGAAAUGGGCAUCCUUGUAGUGAUUCCCAGAGAGAAGCUGUGACCAGGAACAGGAGCAGUUGAAUUUGGCAGCAUUUGGUCAGCAUUUUCACAAAAUGCUGGAGUUGGAAGGGACCAGGCAUCUCCUCUGCAACAUUCCCAGCAAGUGGUUACUCAGUUUCAAAUCAAUCAACUAACCAACAUGCACUUAUUAAGUACCUACUGUAACAUGUACCGUUAAGGAUCCACAUUCUGUUGGGGAUGAGUCAUGAUGGAAAUAAGACUGGACAUGGAGUCAGAGUUUUGAAUCCCUGCUUUGUCAUUUUCUAGCCCCUAGUUAGAAUAGUCCCACCUAUCAUUAGUUGUUAUCCAAUUAGAGUUGAUUGCUACUCUUUGGAACACCCAUUUUUGCAAGGGCAUAUAACCUGUGAGUCCACUGCCAUGAUUGUUUUUGGUCCAAGAAAGAGAUAGCCAAAGGACCAUUUCUUUUAUUUUUAAAAUGCUAAAAUUACUAAUACAAUGAUUAAUUACUAGAAA